rnacentral:lncRNA from 1 species
UUUUGCAGCUUUUGGUUAUUAUCUUGAAUAUUAUUAUAGAUAGAGAUAAACUGUAAACAGCAAUAAUGUACAGCAAAGUAAGACCUACAAAUAAGUCAACAUGAUCAAAAUGGUCAAUUAACCCCUUAAGGAGUUAUUGCCCUUUAUAGUCAUUUUUAACAAUUUUCAUAAAUUUUGUAAAUUUUGUAAAUUUUUAUUCGUUUAUGAUAUGCACAUAGACCAAGGUGAGUGACAC